rnacentral:rRNA from 1 species
GGACUACCAGGGUUUCUAAUCCUGUUUGCUCCCCUAGCUUUCGUUCCUCAGCGUCAGUAGUGAUCCAGCUCGCCGCUUUCGCCACGGGUGUUCCUGCAGAUAUCUACGCAUUUCACCGCUACACCUGCAAUUCCACGAGCCUCUCUCACACUCUAGCACAGCAGUUUUGAAAGCAGUCUCUGGGUUAAGCCCAGAGAUUUCACUCCCAACUUGCCGCACCGCCUACGAACCCUUUACGCCCAGUAAUUCCGAACAACGCUGGCCCCCUACGUAUUACCGCGGCGGCUGGCAC